GGAAGUGAUGUCUCUGGAGGAGUCUUUUUCCUGUUAUCUUUGCUUCUGGUCUCAUUAGCAUUCUCACUUGUCUAAAUGCAGCUUUCACAUGCACUCUCUGAUAUGUUUAAAGGUGAGAAGUCAGCAAUGAUGUCUCUCUGGACAAAAUUAAGUGAUGGUGUUAUCCAUUUACUAGAACCCUCUGAACCUUUCUGUGGAGCAGAUCCCAGGCGGCACCUCUGUUCCCAACCUCACAAAAUCCAGAGGAAGAGGGCCUUCCAGGAGCUCUAACCCAGGCAGUAUCUCAGGUAAAAAUGAAUCACCCAUGAUGUCUGCUGUUAGAAAUUCUAAUCCAGAUGCUGGCCUUCAAACUUAUAUUACUCAGAACUUCGACGGGCCAUUGACAAGAAUAUCAUACAGCUAGAGAUUGAC